rnacentral:rRNA from 1 species
UGGGGAAUUUUGGACAAUGGGGGAAACCCUGAUCCAGCCAUCCCGCGUGUGCGAUGAAGGCCUUCGGGUUGUAAAGCACUUUUGGCAGGAAAGAAACGUCAUGGGUUAAUACCCCGUGAAACUGACGGUACCUGCAGAAUAAGCACCGGCUAACUACGUGCCAGCAGCCGCGGUAAUACGUAGGGUGCAAGCGUUAAUCGGAAUUACUGGGCGUAAAGCGUGCGCAGGCGGGUCGGAAAGAAAGAUGUGAAAUCCCAGAGCUCAACUUUGGAACUGCAUUUCUAACUACCGGGCUAGAGUGUGUCAGAGGGAGGUGGAAUUCCGCGUGUAGCAGUGAAAUGCGUAGAUAUGCGGAGGAAAACCGAUGGCGAAGGCAGCCUCCUAGGAUAACACUGACGCUCAUGAAAGAAAGCGUGGGGAGCAAACAGG